ACAGGGGAAUAGCCCGGAGAAAUUCGGAUUAAUGCCCCAUAGUAUCACCAGAUGGCAUCUGAAGGUGAUUAAAGAUUUAUCGGUACAAGAUGGGCAUGCGUGACAUUAGUUAGUUGGCGGGGUAACGGCCCACCAAGACUAUGAUGUCUAGGGGUUCUGAGAGGAUGAUCCCCCACACUGGUACUGAGAUACGGACCAGACUCCUACGGGAGGCAGCAGUAGGGAAUAUUGGUCAAUGGGCGAGAGCCUGAACCAGCCAUGCCGCGUGCAGGAUGACGGCCUUCUGGGUUGUAAACUGCUUUUAUACGGGAAGAAAAAACCUUUGCGAAGGGAAUUGCCGGUACCGUAUGAAUAAGCACCGGCUAACUCCGUGCCAGCAGCCGCGGUAAUACGGAGGGUGCAAGCGUUGUCCGGAUUUAUUGGGUUUAAAGGGUGCGUAGGCGGGUCUUUAAGUCAGUGGUGAAAGCCUGCAGCUUAACUGUAGAACUGCCAUUGAUACUGGAGACCUUGAGUGUACUAGAGGUAGGCGGAAUUUAUGGUGUAGCGGUGAAAUGCAUAGAUACCAUAAAGAACACCGAUAGCGUAGGCAGCUUACUGGAGUACAACUGACGCUGAGGCACGAAAGCAUGGGGAGCGAACAGGAUUAGAUACCCUGGUAGUCCAUGCCGUAAACGAUGAUUACUCGAUG
rnacentral:rRNA from 1 species